AGUCCAUGCCGAAGACCUUAGUCCAUUGAAACAUCCCAAAACCUGCAGUGACACCAGGGAAGGUGCAACAGGAGCAGUACAACUAAGCAACCCAAAACCUGUAGUAGCAGAACAAAUAGGCCCCACUACAACAACCCUCAUAGGAGCCCUCCCCAAUCUACAUAUAAUCAUACCCGAUUUUCAGCUGAGAUAGGAGUCCUUCCCAACCACAAAUGAAGAGGCCUAACAGCACCAACAAACCAGACCCAACAGACCACAUCUGUCAAGCCAACUCCUAUCGUUUACAUAGCAGCUGCAGCACCUCCUCCCCAACUCACGAGACAGCAGCAGCAGACUAACCAAGUGGCAACAGACCAAAACCUUCCCUAGCCUAAAACCUGCCUAGCCCCAACCAGACUGGAAGACAGAAAAAAUCUGCCAAAGCCAAGACAGAACCAAACCAGCAUCCAUAUUAAAUGCUCCUCACCCACGCAACAGCUAGUAACAGAGACUAGAAAUCAGGAACAGAAACCAGUUCUAAUACCCCAUCAACCCCACUAGAGACUGCUGCAAACAUCUACUGAACUAGCAGCUAAGAAGACAUCAGAGCCUCUCACUGCAGACCCCUAGCACCCCAACCCAACCAACAUACAACAGAGCUAAACCACUCGCAGUAGACAUUCUGAGGCAGACGAGCCUAGACAGACCAACAUACAACAGAGCUAAACUACGACAGCAGAUCUGAGGCACCAAGCACCAACUAACCCCCAACAAAAAUCAAGCAAACAUACCAGCAGAAGCUUUAACAAGCAUACCAGCAGACCAUACCAGCGACCAAAAUCUUUCUGUACAACACCUGCAGUGAUUACUCAGCUAGACCAGCCAAAAACCCAGGAAACCAAAUUAAGUAAUAUUUAAACUCAGCUAUCUAAACCCAGAUCUAUGUUUUAAUUUCAUGAAUUUAGAGUUAGUAUGGAGUUUGCACUUAAGAAAUUAAAGAACAUCAGCCACAAGAUUUUGAACAGUGUUAGAUUUAUUUCUAAAUAUUCUCACAUUACGUUCAUUCCAAAUACGGUAUACAACCGCAGCAAAUCCAAGAUGAAGCAGGCUGUGAUGGAAAUUAGGUAUAGAAUAAUGAAUGAUGUAGUCUGUUAGGGAACUCCAACUCCUACUAAAUCCCCUCCACCCACAAUGUCUGAGGAUAGAAAGGAGGACUCUAAAGGAAUAAUCACAUUGAAAAUAAAUGUGGUCAAAAGUUUUCGCCUGAGAGGAACAUAAUACACAUGAUGGGUUAAUAAGCAUCCAAAAAUUGAGCAACUUGUCCAU
rnacentral:lncRNA from 1 species